UGGUUCUGGCAUCGAUGAAGAACGCAGCGAAAUGCGAUAAGUAAUGUGAAUUGCAGAAUUCAGUGAAUCAUCGAAUCUUUGAACGCACAUUGCGCCCGCCAGUAUUCUGGCGGGCAUGCCUGUUCGAGCGUCAUUUCAACCCCUCGGGCCCCCGGGCCCGGCGUCGGGGCUCUCCCUCGCGGGAGGCCCCCAGAGACAGUGGCGGACCCGCCGCGGCUCCGAGCGCAGUAGUAAAAUUCUCGCCCUGGAGCACCGCGGAGGCGUGCCGGCCGUAAAACACGGUGCCCCCGGCACCACUAUCAAGGUUGACCUCGGAUCAGGUAGGAAUACCCGCUGA
rnacentral:misc_RNA from 1 species